GUUUCUAUAGUUGAAUAACAACGAUGGUUUUUCGAGUCAUUGGUUCCGGUUAAAGUCCGGGUGGAAAUU
rnacentral:tRNA from 1 species